GAGCAUUAUGGUUAAGCUACUAAGAGCACACGGAGGAUGCCUAGGCGCUAGGAGCCGAAGAAGGACGUGGCGAACAACGAAACUGCCUCGGGGAGCUGUAAGCAAGCUUUGAUCCGGGGGUGUCCGAA
rnacentral:rRNA from 1 species